rnacentral:rRNA from 1 species
CGACCGSGACCCCAGGUCAGGCG